AACGAACGCUGGCGGCAUGCCUAACACAUGCAAGUCGAACGAGACCUUCGGGUCUAGUGGCGAACGGGUGCGUAACGCGUGGGAACCUGCCCUUAGGUUCGGAAUAACUCCCCGAAAGGGGUGCUAAUAACGGAUAAUGUCUUCGGACCAAAGAGUUAUCGCAUUUGGAUGGGCCCGCGUUGGAUUAGCUAGUUGGUAGGGUAAAAGCCUACCAAGGCGACGAUCCAUAGCUGGUCGGAGAGGAUGAUCAGCCACACUGGGACUGAGACACGGCCCAGACUCGUACGGGAGGCAGCAGUGGGGAAUAUUGGAGAAUGGGCGUAAGCCUGAUCCAGCAAUGCCGCGUGAGUGAUGAAGGCCUUAGGGUUGUAAAGCGCUUUUACCCGGGAUGAUAAUGACAGUACCGGGAGAAGAAGCUCCGGCUAACUCCGUG
rnacentral:rRNA from 1 species